CCUACGGGUGGUAGCAGUGGGGAAUAUUGCACAAUGGGGGAAACCCUGAUGCAGCGACGCCGCGUGAGUGAAGAAGUAUCUCGGUACGUAAAGCUCUAUCAGCAGGGAAGAAAAUGACGGUACCUGACUAAGAAGCCCCGGCUAACUACGUGCCAGCAGCCGCGGUAAUACGUAGGGGGCAAGCGUUAUCCGGAUUUACUGGGGGUAAAGGGGGCGUAGACGGCAGUGCAAGUCUGGAGUGAAAUCCCGGGGCUUAACCCCGGAACUGCUUUGGAAACUGGGCGGCUGGAGUGCAGGAGGGGUAUGCGGAAUGCCUGGUGGAGCGGUGAAAGGCGUAGAUAUUAGGAGGAACACCGGUGGCGAAGGCGGCUUACUGGACUGUAACUGACGUUGAGGCUCGAAAGCGUGGGGAGCAAACAGGAUUAGAUACCCUGGUAGUC
rnacentral:rRNA from 1 species